CGGAAAAGGGAAAGGCUUAGUGGCGGACGGGUGAGUAACGCGUGGGUAACCUGGCCCAUACAGGGGGAUAACACUUAGAAAUAGGUGCUAAUACCGCAUAACAACAGAAAGCGCAUGCUUUUUGUUUGAAAACCAAGGUGGUAUGGGAUGGACCCGCGUCUGAUUAGCUGGUUGGCGGGGUAAAGGCCACCAAGGCGACGAUCAGUAGCCGGCCUGAGAGGGUGGACGGCCACAUUGGGACUGAGACACGGCCCAAACUCCUACGGAAGGCAGCAG
rnacentral:rRNA from 1 species